UACGUAGGGGGCAAGCGUUGUCCGGAAUCAUUGGGCGUAAAGAGCGUGCAGGCGGCUUGGUAAGUCCGCUGUGAAAGUCCAGGGCUCAACCCUGGAAUGCCGGUGGAAACUGUCAAGCUUGAGUCCGGAAGAGGCGAGUGGAAUUCCUGGUGUAGCGGUGAAAUGCGCAGAUAUCAGGAGGAACACCAAUGGCGAAGGCAGCUCGCUGGGACGGUACUGACGCUGAGACGCGAAAGCGUGGGGAGCAAACAGG
rnacentral:rRNA from 1 species